CAGAGAAGGAACUCUCUGAGAUCCAGUGCUCAGCUCUGGCCUUCAUGCUGCAGAUGUCAGAGGAGGUUCUGGAUGAGUUUGACCUGCUGAAGUACAACACAUCAAAGCGGGGACGACAGAGACUGAUUCCAGCUGUGAGGAACUGCAGAAAGGCUGGACUGACUCACUGUGGACUCUCAGAGUCUCACUGUGAAGUUGUGGCCUCAGCUCUGAAGUCCAACCCCUCCCAUCUGACAGAGCUGGACAUGAGUUGAAAUGAUGGCCUCCAGGAUUCAGGUGUGAAGCUUCUGUGUGCUGGACUGGAGAAUCCAAACUGUCGACUGGAGACUCUGAGAUUGUGGGGCUGUGGUUUGUCAGAGAUCAGCUGUGAUUAUCUGGCAGCAGCACUGAAGUCCAACCCCUCCCAUCUUAGACAGCUGGAGCUGAGUGACAACUACAAGCUGCAGGAUUCAGGAGUGAAGCAUCUGUGUGGUUUCCUGGAGAGUCCAGGAUGUGGACUUGAAAC